GGCAAACGCAUUAAGCAGUCCACCUGGGGAGUACGUUGGCAAGAAUGAAAAUCAAAGGAAUAGACGGGGACCCGCACAAGCGGCGGAGCAUGUGGUUUAAUUCGAAGCAACGCGGAGAACCUUACCCGCCCUUGACAUCCCCCUGAACAUGCAGUAGCUGGCAUGGCCCUUCGGGGCAGGGGAGACAGCUGGUGCAUGGUGGUCGUCAUCUGGUGUCGUGAGAUGUUGGGUUAAGUCCUGCAACGAGCGCAACCCCUGCCCCCAGUAGCCAGCGGCAUAGGCCGGGCAAUUUGGGGGGACCGCCGUGGACAACCCGGAGGAAGGCGGGGACGACGUCAAAUCAUCAUGCCCCUUAUGGGCUGGGCUACACACGUGCUACAAUGGCGCCGACAAAGGGAUGCGAAGCGGCGACGCGGAGCGAACCCCAGAAACGGCGCCCCAGUUCGGAUUGCAGUCUGCAACUCGGCUGCAUGAAGCCGGAAUCGCUAGUAAUCGCGGAUCAGGAUGCCGCGGUGAAUACGUUCCCGGGUCUUGUACACACCGCCCGUC
rnacentral:rRNA from 1 species